ACUUGCCUUGGGUAUCCUAACUCCUCAUCUGAUGGCGCGCAGACUUUCCGAGGUCACCCUCCAGGCAGGCCUCUGCAACCUGUGCAAGUGAAUGUCUGCAGCUGGGGAGUGAGGGCAAGAUCUCCAGUCUCUAAGCCUCAGUGUUUUCAUCGAUGGACAGGGAUGAGUAACAGCAGCCCUAUGGACUUGCUGACAAGGUAGUGGCAGACACAUAUCAGGUUUCCAGAAAGGAGGAGAAAGACCAGUGGUUGGAGGUAAGAAGACCAGGGCCAGCGUGCUGCAAUCCAGAUGACUGCAGUUGUCUGGUGGGCAGCACUGCUAAAGCGGUCUGUUGGUUCUCAAGGACACAAAGGAUGCUGGAAUAAGAAGACACCUCCACCCCCAGUUACUCCUGACUGACCCCACAUUGCCCAGAGUUUUGUCUGAAUGACAGAAAUCCAACACACUCCUGAGGUACGUGUGCCCCGGUCACCUGAGCUUCCUCCUGAAGUCUUUAACUAAAAUGGACUUAAUCUCUUCAGUUCAACCUCCUUGAUCAUUGUCACUGUCUUUGUGACAGAGAGAAGGAUGGUGCCUCCAUCUUUGUCAUGGCGGCUCCGCUGCUGCAACCACGAUCUGUGUUUUAACUGUGGUCUCCUGGGAUGCCCUCUCGCCCCUUCCUCCACCCAGCCCUGCCUGCUCAGGGGGCCUCUCAGGAUGUCGUCCUUUUCUUUUUCUCACAGCCACACUUUAAAUUCAAAAAUCUCACUCGGGUCCUAGUUCACCUGGCCUUUAAUAAUCUCAGUGCCAUUUUUGGAAAAUCACGCUUUUUUCUCAUCCCCUCUUUCUGUGGCAAAGAAGUCACGCAGGCUGAACAGGCUGCGUUGCAGGAAACGCUAUGUUUGUUCUUCUGUUUACUUUUACAUUUUUCUUUGCAAUGAUUGCAAGGUUUCUCUACCACCACCACCACCCUCCCCCACCGAAACUGAGCAUUAUCAACUUAGAUUUGCAUAUACGAAAACCUGGAGCAAUUGGGAAAGAGAACCGGCAAAUGAGAGCAGGUUUGUUUAUAGCAACUGCAGACAUGUUCACAGUUGCUUUCCCACAAAAGGCCAAAACGCGGCUUUCGCUGCUGUUCGCAGGUAGUAAUCUAUGCAGGGCUCCUUACCUCGCAAUCAGGCUUGAGGUUAUGCACGGGGGGCACCUUCUAUAAGAAAGGAUACACAAAUAUAUUGCUUUUUGCCAAUGUUACAAAACACAGCUCAUGAAUAAAUUACUAGCCUACCUCCCACGCCCCAGAAGCAGGGCUCAGCCCCUUCAGGACCUUCAGAGCCCGCUAUGCAAGCCAGAGGUCCCUGAAGCUUAUGUUUCAUUUAGCAUCAUAGUAAAUAUGCUUCUAAUUGUAAUAAAUGCCGGAGGAAUUAA